AUUGAUGUUUUAAACUUGGAAUUAGUUUUGAAUGAUUGUGUUCCCUCAACCCAACAAUGUAAUUGACUUUGAAUUGUGAAAUUAUCACUAGGUUUGACUUACUUACUAACGAUAUUGCAUUGCAUAAAUGGUUAAAAAAUAAACAUAGAUUUUGAAUGUCUUGUUGGCUAUGUUUAAUUUAAUAAACAAAGGGGGCGAUCUAUAAUAAGUUAAUGUAAUUGUUAUUUCAU
rnacentral:lncRNA from 1 species